CAGUAAAACACUCAUCUUCUUUGGUUUCGAAAAUGAGAGCACUCGUCCUCGUUUACAAAAUGGAGAGCGCUCUGCUGUGUGCUUCUCGCUUUGUUCCUUCAACAUACAAGCACAGAUUAAUAUCAUUGUGAUUUUAUUGUCUUUUAUCUUCUCGAAUUUCCGGUUAAUUUUGUGGUUGAAAUUUAUUGUUUUCUGUUAUUUUAAGCAGAUUAUAGUGAAGUGGGUGGCUGGGUGCAUUUGGAAGGAAUUUUCAUACUUCGUUUUCCGUCCAAGUGCCAUACAACAAUUCCCUUUUGAGUAGAAAUAAAGGAGCUGCUUGUAGAAGCCAUAUUGUCAUUGCUUCCGUGGUAAUUUUCAUAUCCUUUUGUUUUCAUGUUUCCCUAUUUCUGUCAUUGAACUUUAUUGUGAAAGUGGGGGAAAUUUUUGAAGUGUUCAACUUUGUUUAUUGCCUAGAUUGGAAGACAUUAAAUUUUCCCCUUGGAAAAGAUUUAAUUUAAUUCAAAAUGAGCGUUUAUUGUAUAUUUUUACUGGAAUUGAAAAUCCAGUUUUUUGAUAAUGAAUUAAGCAGCUACAAGUUUAAAUUUGGAAGAAAUCCAGUUUC
rnacentral:lncRNA from 1 species